UCUGCUGUUUUGUACAGUUAUGAAGUGUGUGGAAUACUUUCAACCAGCGAGGACGCCUACUUGUCGUAUUUACCGCUGGCACACAUAUAUGAACGCACUGCCUAUCUACUUGUAUUAUGUGGUGGAGCCAGAAUUGGAUUUUAUCGUGGAGAUCCAAAACUACUGCUGGAAGAUAUACAGGCAUUAAAGCCGACGAUUUUUGCUGCAGUGCCUCGUAUUCUUAAUCGAGUAUAUGAUAAGGUA